AGUAGAAUUUCUGGGUCAUGUGAUAAAUUUAUGUUUAACUUUUAAAUAAAUAAUACUACUGUUUCCCAAAGUAGCUAUACCAUUAACAUUCCCACCAGUAAU
rnacentral:pre_miRNA from 1 species